UCCAACUCUACCCCUAUGUCAGGCUGGGAGGCUCAACAGAAAUUUAUUUUUGCUCAGCCCCAGACCUCGGGGUGCCAGCGUGGUUGGGCUCCAGGGAGGGCCCCCUUCUUGCUUUUCAGAAAGCCACCUUCUCGCCGUGUCCUCACACAGCAGAGAGACAGCAAGUUCUCUGGCGACUCUUCCUAUAAGGACACCAACCCCUUGUGAGGGUCUCAGCUCACCCCAACCAGCUCCCAAGAGCCCAUCUCUGAAGGCCGUCACGCUGGGUAGGGUCUCAGCAGGUGGGUUUGGGGACUUAGGGAUGAAUCGCAACUGCCUUCCUUGGGGCUGUAAAGCUGCAGGAGAAAAAGUAAGCAGCCACACCACAGACCCCCGCUGUAAAGUGUUAACAAUGGCAGCAAGAAGCGAUGUGAUAAUCGUGAUUUGUGAACCGAUGUCAACCCACCACACAUUUAUAAGGUGAAUCCUGAGGUCAUGCGUAUGGGAAGACGGCUCUGUGAAGUCCUAGGUGCUCCAAGGAAGGAGAGGGGGAUCCAGGAGCGGAACCGUGGGGGCGCUGCUCAUCUGCCCUCGCAGCUUGCUUCUCACCCACGGGAUUUGAUACUGUGUAACUUCACAACCAGUAAUGGGCCGAGGUGCCGCCUGCCUGCCUGCGGGACACAGAAGAAGGGCCAGGUAAAGCCUCCCAGGGCCAGGACUUCACUCCACCUGCACUGUUUCCUGGCUCUGAUAAAGAAUGUGUGUCUCAUAAACUGAGCUUGCAUAACACAUCUAAACAGACAGGCCUUCUGUUAAGGAGGUUUUGUUUCCGACUGUAUCAUACCCCUGCCUUUCCUGUACUUUGUUAGGUUGGGUCAUAAAAAAAAAAUUGUACCAAAAAAAAUGUACUAGAAACUAUUGAUUUCUGUUGUGCUAAAGCCCCUGACAUUCUGGCGCGAUGAAGAUAUUGCUGUGGACCCUAUGAGCUUUCUCAGACUUCUCUUCUGCUUAUGAGGGUCUCUGCGGAUGGUAUUAAAGAUAUUGUAGUUCCCACUUUCUGACUGUGGGAUAUCAGCAGGGUCUCUCCUGUGUAAAGAAUAAUUAUCAGCACUGCUGUUACCUCUAGUAAGUGUGUAAUUACAUGCUCGGUUUUGUGGGCUGUAGGCUGUGCAGUUUUAAAUUAUACAAUAAUGUCAAAUUCUCUCCCGCUCUCUCACACUCUCUGGCUCUCUCUCCCUUUCUAUCUCUCUCUAGCUUUUUUUGUAUUUGAAAGGGGAGGUGGGUAAUAUCUAUUUUUUUAGGAGAUAGAAGGAGAGAGUGUGAGAGCGUUUCCACCCACAUAGCGUGGUACCCAGGGAAGGUCAAACACUGUUGCCUGUGUGCUAGGAUUUCAACCCACAGGACCUUUAAAAAUCAGGGCGGAAGAGAUGACGAAGGGUGGGGGGAGUAAGGAAGGACAGGGAGGAGGUGAGUGUGGGAGUGUGGGAGUGUGGGUGAAAGCAGAGUGGGUGUGGUAGAGUCCAGUAAAAAAGCAGGUGGGAAGCAUUGUGAAGGCGCUGAUUCCCAGCCAGAAAUUAAAGUAGCUGGGGGCCGCCUGCAAUGAGCUCUCCACUAAGAACAUGCCUGCGCCUGCUUCGGGGCAAACAGCCCACCACCAGAGGGUCCCACACCUGUCUGUACUUGGCCAGUCAGGGCUCCUGGACAGGUGUGAUCUUCCUGCUGACCAUAGCUUUGCACAACUCACCCCACCCCCACCCCACGGGGAUUCACAGGAUUAAGUGAUGGUAACACUCGUGUCCACCUCAAGCCCUACAACCACCCAGAGUCCUCUUGAACUCAGAUCUGACUGAAAAGACUGCAUGUUUCAUUCCUCUGCUUUAAGGCUUUCCACAAAAUACAUCAGUAAAUGUGUGGAGUUGAUGCUUUAAAAUGAGUUCGUGGCCUGUGGUGAACAUUUGUCUUUUGCUUCGUCCUACUCUCUUCCAUCCCACAAAAUGCAGUUCAC
rnacentral:lncRNA from 1 species